rnacentral:rRNA from 1 species
GACUAACGCUGGCGGCGUGCCUAAUACAUGCAAGUAGAACGCUGAAGAGAGGAGCUUGCUCUUCUUGGAAGAGUUGCGAACGGGUGAGUAACGCGUAGGUAACCUGCCUUGUAGCGGGGGAUAACUAUUGGAAACGAUAGCUAAUACCGCAUAACAAUGGGUGACCCAUGUCAUUCAUUUGAAAGGGGCAACUGCUCCACUACAAGAUGGACCUGCGUUGUAUUAGCUAGUAGGUGAGGUAACGGCUCACCUAGGCGACGAUACAUAGCCGACCUGAGAGGGUGAUCGGCCACACUGGGACUGAGACACGGCCCAGACUCCUACGGGAGGCAGCAGUAGGGAAUCUUCGGCAAUGGGGGCAACCCUGACCGAGCAACGCCGCGUGAGUGAAGAAGGUUUUCGGAUCGUAAAGCUCUGUUGUAAGUCAAGAACGAGUGUGAGAGUGGAAAGUUCACACUGUGACGGUAGCUUACCAGAAAGGGACGGCUAACUACGUGCCAGCAGCCGCGGUAAUACGUAGGUCCCGAGCGUUGUCCGGAUUUAUUGGGCGUAAAGCGAGCGCAGGCGGUUUGAUAAGUCUGAAGUUAAAGGCUGUGGCUCAACCAUAGUUCGCUUUGGAAACUGUCAAACUUGAGUGCAGAAGGGGAGAGUGGAAUUCCAUGUGUAGCGGUGAAAUGCGUAGAUAUAUGGAGGAACACCGGUGGCGAAAGCGGCUCUCUGGUCUGUAACUGACGCUGAGGCUCGAAAGCGUGGGGAGCGAACAGG